rnacentral:rRNA from 1 species
AACGCGAAGAACCUUACCAGGCCUUGACAUCCAAUGAACUUUCUAGAGAUAGAUUGGUGCCUUCGGGAACAUUGAGACAGGUGCUGCAUGGCUGUCGUCGGCUCGUGUCGUGAGAUGUUGGGUUAAGUCCCGUAACGAGCGCAACCCUUGUCCUUAGUUACCAGCACGUCAUGGUGGGCACUCUAAGGAGACUGCCGGUGACAAACCGGAGGAAGGUGGGGAUGACGUCAAGUCAUCAUGGCCCUUACGGCCUGGGCUACACACGUGCUACAAUGGUCGGUACAGAGGGUCGCCAAGCCGCGAGGUGGAGCUAAUCCCACAAAACCGAUCGUAGUCCGGAUCGCAGUCUGCAACUCGACUGCGUGAAGUCGGAAUCGCUAGUAAUCGCGAAUCAGAAUGUCGCGGUGAAUACGUUCCCGGGCCUUGUACACACCGCCCGUCACACCAUGGGAGCGGGUUGCACCAGAAGUAGCUAGUCUAACCUUCGGGAGGACGGUUACCACGGUGUGAUUCAUGACUGGGGUGAAGUCGUAACAAGGUAACCUUAAUUAAAA